rnacentral:rRNA from 1 species
GACGAACGCUGGCGGCGUGCCUAACACAUGCAAGUCGAACGGACAGGCCCUGCUCUUGUGGCGUGCACGAGUGCCGCACGGGUGUGUAACACGCGUGUAACAUGUACCUGUCUUUCGGAUAUAACUAGGAAACACCGGCUCAUACAGCAUAGGAGCUCUUGAUGCACGGGGGGCGAUGGUAAGAUUCGGUGGUUGGGGAUGGACUCGCGGCUUAUCAGCUUGUUGGUCGAGUAGUUGCUUACCAAGGCUUCGACGGAUAGCCGGCCUGGGAGGGUGACCGGCCACAAUGGGACUGAGAGACGGCCCAGACUCCUACGGGAGGCAGCAGUCGGGAGUAUGGCGCAAUGGGCGGAAGCCUGAUGCAGCAACGCCGCGUGCGUAAUGACGUCCUUCGGGUUGUAAACCGCUUUCGCCUGUGACGAAGCGGGAGUGACGGUAAUGGGUAAAGAAGCACCGGCUAACUACGUG